rnacentral:rRNA from 1 species
GACGAACGCUGGCGGCGUGCUUAACACAUGCAAGUCGAACGGAAAGGCCCUGCUUUUGUGGGGUGCUCGAGUGGCGAACGGGUGAGUAACACGUGAGUAACCUGCCCUUGACUUUGGGAUAACUUCAGGAAACUGGGGCUAAUACUGGAUAGGAGCUCCUGCUGCAUGGUGGGGGUUGGAAAGUUUCGGCGGUUGGGGAUGGACUCGCGGCUUAUCAGCUUGUUGGUGGGGUAGUGGCUGACCAAGGCUUUGACGGGUAGCCGGCCUGAGAGGGUGACCGGCCACAUUGGGACUGAGAUACGGCCCAGACUCCUACGGGAGGCAGCAGUGGGGAAUAUUGCACAAUGGGCGGAAGCCUGAUGCAGCAACGCCGCGUGCGGGAUGACGGCCUUCGGGUUGUAAACCGCUUUCGCCUGUGACGAAGCGUGAGUGACGGUAAUGGGUAAAGAAGCACCGGCUAACUACGUG